GACGAACGCUGGCGGCGUGCUUAACACGUGCAAGUCGAACGGAAAGGCCCUGCUUUUGUGGGGUGCUCGAGUGGCGAACGGGUGAGUAACACGUGAGUAACCUGCCCUUGACUUUGGGAUAACUUCAGGAAACUGGGGCUAAUACCGGAUAGGAGCUCCUGCUGCAUGGUGGGGUUUGGAAAGUUUCGGCGGUUGGGGAUGGACUCGCGGCUUAUCAGCUUGUUGGUGGGGUAGUGGCUUACCAAGGCUUUGACGGGUAGCCGGCCUGAGAGGGUGACCGGCCACAUUGGGACUGAGAUACGGCCCAGACUCCUACGGGAGGCAGCAGUGGGGAAUAUUGCACAAUGGGCGGAAGCCUGAUGCAGCAACGCCGCGUGCGGGAUGACGGCCUUCGGGUUGUAAACCGCUUUCGCCUGUGACGAAGCGUGAGUGACGGUAAUGGGUAAAGAAGCACCGGCUAACUACGUG
rnacentral:rRNA from 1 species